AAUCGAAGCAGUGAACUUAAGCCCCAGUAAACGGCGGCCGUAACUAUAACGGUCCUAAGGUAGCGAAAUUCCUUGUCGGGUAAGUUCCGACCCGCACGAAAGGCGUAACGAUUUGGGCACUGUCUCAACAACAGACUCGGUGAAAUUGUAAUUCCGGUGAAGAUGCCGGAUACCUGCGACAGGACGGAAAGACCCCAUGGAGCUUUACUGUAGCUUGACAUUGGGUCUUGGUACUACAUGUACAGGAUAGGU
rnacentral:rRNA from 1 species